AUGGCGCCCCCGCUCCAGGCGCCGGACUACAGGUACGUCACCGAGGAGUGCCUCCGCGAAUGGAAGGGCCAGUCCGCCGCCGCCUUCCGCCUCCCGGAUCCGGUCCCCAGGGCCCGCUUCCUCUACGAGCUCUGCUGGGCGAUGGUGCGGGGGGACCUGCCGCCGCAGAAGUGCCGGGCGGCGCUGGAUUCGGUGGUGUUCGUGGAGGAGGCGCGGCAGGAGGAGUCCGGCUCCGUGCUUGCCGACAUCGUCGCGCACCUAGGGCAGGAUAUUACCAUUUCUGGUGAAUAUCGCAGCCGUCUUGUCAAAAUGACUAAGUCACUCGUGGAGUCUUCAUUGAUUGUGCCUAGGCUUCUUCAAGAGCGAUGUGACGAAGAGUUCCUAUGGGAGGUUGAACUGAGUAAGUCAAAAGGCCAGGAUUUAAAAGCCAAGGAGGUCAGAGUCAACACACGACUUCUUUAUCAGCAAACUAAAUUCAACCUUGUAAGAGAGGAAAGUGAGGGCUAUGCCAAGUUGGUAACCCUACUUUGUCAAGUAGGUUCAGAUUUGGCUUGCCAAAAUACUUCUUCAGCAACUAUCAGCAUUGUAAAGUCAUUAAUUGGACAUUUUGACCUGGACCCGAAUCGUGUAUUUGACAUUGUGUUGGAAUGUUUUGAACUCUAUCCAGACAACAGUAUCUUUUAUCAGCUUAUACCUCUUUUUCCAAAGUCCCAUGCUGCUCAAAUUUUGGGGUUUAAAUUUCAAUAUUAUCAACAAUUGGAUGUAAACAGCCCUGUUCCAUCUGGUCUUUUCCGAAUAGCAGCGCUGUUGGUCAAAUCUGGCCUUAUUGACCUUGAUAAUCUCUACGCUCAUUUACUUCCGAAUGAUGAUGAGGCGUUUGAGCAUUUUGGCUCCUUUGUUUCAAGGAAAAUUGAUGAGGCUACUAAAAUAGGCAAAAUAAAUCUUGCUGCUACUGGAAAGGACCUUAUGGAUGAAGAGAAGCAAGAAAUAACGAUCGAUUUAUACACAGCACUGGAGAUGGAAAAUGAUAUAAUUGAUGAACGAGCCCCUGAGAUAGAAAAGAACCAGAAGCUUGGACUUCUUCUUGGUUUCCUCUCAGUCCAUGAUUGGGACCAUGCACAGCUACUAUUUGAACGUCUUGCGCAGCUAAAUCCUGUCGAGCACGUUGAAAUUUGUGAUGCUUUAUUUAGAAUUGUUGAGAAGACUAUUUCGUCAGCCUACAGUACAUAUUGUCAAACACAUCAUAAAAUCACCCGUAACAUCAACACUCAUAUGUUGGAUGCAUCAUCUGUCUCUUCACCAAGUUAUUUGGUUGAUCUGCCAAAGGAGUUUUUCCAAAUGCUUGCCGCUUGUGGACCAUACCUUCACCGUGACACACAAUUAUUCCAGAAGGUUUGCAGAGUGUUAAAGGUGUAUCAUGCCUCGUCAAAAGAAUCAGCCCGUACAGCAGGUGUAAUGUCUCCAGAAUCUCAGGUUGAAGAAGCACUUGGGUCAUGCUUGCUUCCUUCACUGCAGCUUAUACCUGCCAAUCCUGCUGUUGAUAUGGAGAUGUGGGGAGUUCUUUCCCUUCUUCCUUAUGAGGUGCGCUAUCGUUUGUAUGGUGAGUGGGAGAAGGACACUGAACAAAACCCAAUUGUCCUUGCUGCAAGGCAAACAGCAAAGCUGGACACCAGACGGCUCUUAAAACGGCUGGCCAAGGAAAAUCUGAAGCAGCUUGGCCGCAUGGUGGCUAAACUUGCUCAUGCAAAUCCAAUGACUGUGCUUCGGACAAUUGUCCAACAGGUUGAAGCAUACAGGGACAUGAUAAAUCCAGUUGUGGAUGCUUUUAAAUACUUGACUCAGCUGGAAUAUGAUAUUUUGCAAUAUAUUGUAAUCGAACGGUUGGCUCAAGGUGGUCGUGAGAAAGUAAAGGAUGACGGCCUUAACCUGUCAGACUGGCUUCAGUGUCUGGCAUCAUUCUGGGGACACCUCUGCAAGAAGCAUCAUUCCAUGGAGCUUAAAUGCCUCUUCCAAUACAUAGUUAAUCAACUGAAGAAAGGAUUGGGUACUGAGCUUGUUGUACUUGAGGAACUCAUUCAGCAAAUGGCAAAUGUACAGUACACUGAGAACAUGACUGAUGAACAGGUUGAUGCUAUGGCAGGAAGUGAAACGUUGCGGCUUCAAUCUUCGCUGUUUGGAUCAACACGGAACUAUAAGGUCCUGAAUAAGUCUAUUAACAAAUUGCGGGAUUCUUUGCUUCCAAAAGAUGAACCCAAACUUGCAAUUCCUCUACUACUGCUCAUUGCCCAACACAGAUCCAAGAUUAUAAUAAAUGCAGAUGCCACAUAUAUCAAAAUGGUUAGCGAGCAGUUCGAUAGAUGCCAUGGAAUACUACUUCAGUAUGCCGAGUUUCUUUCAAGUGCCAUAGCUCCAUCAACCUAUGUUCAACUAAUACCUCCGCUGGAAGAUCUGGUUUAUAAAUAUCAUAUCGAGCCAGACGUUGCUUUUCUUAUAUACCGGCCUGUAAUGAGGCUUUUCAGAAGCGCUAACGGUGGCGAGGCCUGUUGGCCUCUGGAUGACAAUGAAGGGGAGUCUGUAUCAUAUGAUGAAAUGAUCUUGCAUGGCGAUUCAUCUCAGAAGUCAAUCAUGUGGUCAGAUCUUCUCAACACAAUCCGAACAAUUUUGCCAGCAAAAGCGUGGAACGGUCUUUCACCUGAAUUGUAUGCUACUUUCUGGGGUUUAACACUGUAUGAUCUUCAUUUUCCAAAAGAUCGUUAUGAUGCAGAAAUCAAGAAGCUGCAUGAAAAUCUCAAACAACUUGAAGAUAGCUCAGAUAACUCUAGCAUUGCAAUAUCACGGCGUAAGAAGGACAAGGAGAGAAUCCAAGAUUUGCUGGACAAAUUGAACAAUGAAUCUGACAAGCAUCAACAGCACGUUAUAUCAGUGCUCCAAAGGCUAACCCGUGAAAAGGAUAAAUGGCUGAGUUCCAGUCCGGACGCACUGAAGAUCAACAUGGAAUUUCUCCAGCGGUGCAUAUAUCCACGCUGUGUUCUUAGCAUGCAGGAUGCUGUGUAUUGUGCUACAUUCGUCCAGAUGAUGCAUUCACUUGGGACUCCAUUUUUCAACACGGUGAAUCAUAUAGAUGUUUUCAUCUGCAAGACACUACAGCCAAUGAUCUGUUGUUGUACCGAAUAUGAGGCUGGCAGGCUUGGAAGGUUUCUUCAUGAGACCCUGAAGAUGGCUUACCAUUGGAAGAGUGACGAAUCAGUAUAUGAGCGUGAAUGUGGAAAUAAGCCGGGAUUCGCUGUAUACUUCAGAUUUCCAAAUAGUCAACGCGUAUCUUAUCCUCAGUUCGUUAAAGUUCAUUGGAAAUGGAGUGGAAGAAUUACCAAGGUGCUUAAUCAAUGUAUGGAAUCAAAAGAAUACAUGGAAAUCAGAAACGCCCUUAUUGUUCUCACAAAGAUAACUAGUAUUUUUCCUGUGAUGCGAAAAAGCGGUAUCAACAUUGAGAAAAGGGUUGCGAAGCUAAAGGGGGAUGAGAGAGAAGAUCUGAAAGUACUGGCCACUGGUGUAGCUGCUGCUCUGGCAGCUCGGAAGAGUUCAUGGGUAUCUGAAGAAGAGUUUGGCAUGGGUCACCUUGAUCUGAAGCCAGUGCCUGCAAUACCUAUUGCUGGAAAUCAGUAUGCAGAUCCCUCGACAGCAAAAGAUCACAGCGUUCGUGCAAAAUCUGUAGAGGGUAGGCAUGAAAGGUCAGAAAAUGCAAUGAAGCCUGAUGCCCAUAAGAAGAAUGCCUCGACUACAAACGGAUCUGAUAUUCAAAUACCAUCUUCCUCUGCACAAGGAAAAGGUUCAGGGGUUGCACGUGGUGUGGAUGAACCUCUGAAACUUUUGUCCGAUGAUGGAGUUAAAGUCUUGAAGCCUACUGCAGAACCUGAGACAAGAGCGGCACAAAAGCGUGCUGUACAAAAUGCUGCAAAGGUAUCUAAGCAUGAUGUGGUGAAGGAAGAUGCAAAACCUGGGAGAUCUACUAGCAGGGGUCUUAAUCAACAAACCUCUGCUAUUCCUGUUGACAGAGAAGUAUUGUCUCAGGCAGCUGAUGGUGUGCUGGAUACUAAUCCCACUAGUCCGUUGGUUGGCACAAAUGGUAAUAUACAUCCGGCACCACGAAAGGUAUCUGCAUCCUCCCAAAGAUCAACAGUAUUGGCUGCACAUAGCGGUGGAACAGCUAAUCCCACCGGUGAAGGUGAAUCUGCUGACUUGAUUGAUUCUACCGUGAAACAGCAAAAAAGAUCUGUUCCCGUUGAAGAACAAGAGAGGACAGGUAAACGAAGGAAAGGAGAGAUUGAAGGCAGGGAUGGUGACUUGACGGAGCACCAUACGGACAAAGAAAAAAAAUUGGACUCACGAUCAGUAGAUAAAUCUCGUUCUGUGGAUCAUGAGAGAGGUGCUAGUGAGGAACAAAACCUAAUUCGGGCAGAGAAAUUAAAAGAAAAGUUCGAUGAUAAAUAUGACAGAGAUCAUAGAGAAAAAGCAGACCGGUCCGAGAGGCGCCGUGGAGAAGACGUGGUUGAAAGACCAACAGACAGAUCAUUGGAAAGGAGAGAGCGUUCUAUUGAAAAGAUGCAAGACAGAGUUCCUGAAAAAGGAAGAGAAGACAGGAAUAAGGAGGAGAGGAACAAAAUUAAGCAUGAACCCAUAGAUCGAGCAUAUGCUAUUAAGAAUGAACCCAUAGAUCGAGCAUAUGCUAUUAAGAAUGAACCCAUAGACCGAGCACAUACUGUUAAGCAUGAACCCAUAGACCGAGCACAUACUUCUGAUGAACGCUUCCGAGGGCAAAGCUUGCCACCACCUCCACCUCUUCCAACUAGUUUUGUACCCCAAUCAGUCGCUGCUAACCGAAGAGAUGAAGACAGUGACCGAAGGGGCAGCAGCACCAGGCAUACCCAACGGUCGUCUCCCAGGCGUGAUGAGAAAGAAAGGUGGCACUUGGAGGAGAAUGCUCCGCUCUCACAGGAUGAUGGGAAGCACCGAAGAGAGGAAGAUCUCCGGGAUAGAAAGCGUGAAGAUAGGGAUGUUUCAUCAAGCAAGGUAGACGACAGGGAUAGGGACAAAGUUAAUACUGUGAAAGAAGAUAGUGAUCCUAAUAGUGCAUCCAAACGGCGGAAGGUUAAAAGAGAACAGUCUGCUUUGGAAGCUGGGGAAUACGCGCCUUCUGCUCCACAGCCUCCGAGCGUUGGACCUGGUAACUCACAGUUUGAAAUACGAGAGAGAGAAAGAAAGGGUGCUAUUUCACAGCAUCGGCCAUCACAUGCUGAUGACCUUCCUAGGAUGCAUGCCAAGGAUUCAACAAGCAAGACAAGUCGUAGAGAGGCUGACCAAACACAUGAUAGAGAGUGGGAAGAGGAGAAGAGGCCAAGGACUGAAGCAAAAAGGAAGCAUCGGAAGUAG
rnacentral:rRNA from 1 species